rnacentral:rRNA from 1 species
UACAGAGGGUGCAAGCGUUGUUCGGAAUUAUUGGGCGUAGAGGGCGCGUAGGCGGUGCGGUAAGUCACCUGUGAAAUCUCUGGGCUUAACUCAGGGGCUGCUUUCAAAACUGCCGUGCUCGAGUGCGAGAGAGGUCAGUGGAAUUGCAGGUGUAGCGGUGAAAUGCGUAGAUAUCUGCAGGAACACCCGUGGCGAAGGCGG